UCCUACGGGGGGCAGCAGUAGGGAAUUUUCGUCAAUGGGCGCAAGCCUGAACGAGCAGUGCCGCGUGAGCGAGGAAGGUCUUCGGAUCGUAAAGUUCUGUUGAAGGGGAAAAAGAGCGGAGAGAGGAAAUGGUCUCCGAUUGAUAUUACCCUUCGAGGAAGUCACGGCUAACUACGUGCCAGCAGCCGCGGUAAUACGUAGGUGGCGAGCGUUAUCCGGAAUGAUUGGGCGUAAAGGGUGCGUAGGCGGCCUGCUAAGUCUGGAGUGAAAGGUACCGGCUCAACCGGUACAGGCUCUGGAAACUG
rnacentral:rRNA from 1 species